CGGACGGGUGAGUAACACGUGGGUAACCUGCCCAUAAGACUGGGAUAACUCCGGGAAACCGGGGCUAAUACCGGAUAACAUUUUGAACUGCAUGGUUCGAAAUUGAAAGGCGGCUUCGGCUGUCACUUAUGGAUGGACCCGCGUCGCAUUAGCUAGUUGGUGAGGUAACGGCUCACCAAGGCAACGAUGCGUAGCCGACCUGAGAGGGUGAUCGGCCACACUGGGACUGAGACACGGCCCAG
rnacentral:rRNA from 1 species